rnacentral:tRNA from 1 species
UCCCUAGUGGCUCAAGGGUAAAGAAUCUGCCUGCAAUGCGGAAGACCCAGGUUCCAUUCCUGGGUUGGGAC